GUGGGAAGUGGGCGAUGGGCGAAUGCCUCCCCCUCCGACGUACGAGUGACGUACGGUCGCAACUGGACGACGGUCCACCGAAAUUAAUUACCGCGUCCCCGAGAAAAAACUGGGAGAAGCGAAGCGGGUCGUGCGCGUGUGCUCUAUAAUAAUGUACGAAAUAUAUUCUCCCCUCCCACUCUGGACUCUCGCUUAAAACCGCCCCACCCCGAUUCUGUAACGGGGGGUGUGCGCGUAUUUAUUAUCGU